GUGUCAGCAGCCGCGGUAAUACGAACCGUCCAAACGUUAUUCGGAAUCACUGGGCUUAAAGGGUGCGUAGGCGGUCCGGUAAGUUGGGUGUGAAAUCCCUCGGCUCAACCGAGGAAUUGCGCCCAAAACUGCCGGACUUGAGGGAGAUAGAGGUGAGCGGAACUUAGGGUGGAGCGGUGAAAUGCGUUGAUAUCCUAAGGAACACCGGUGGCGAAAGCGGCUCACUGGGUCUCUUCUGACGCUGAGGCACGAAAGCUAGGGUAGCGAACGGGAUUAGAUACCCCGGUAGUCCUAGCCGUAAACGAUGAGCACUAGAUCGGAGGGUCCCCUAUAGCCUUCUGGUCGUAGCGAAAGUGUUAAGUGCUCCGCCUGGGGAGUAUGGUCGCAAGGCUGAA
rnacentral:rRNA from 1 species